AACAACUUCAACCCCAACAACAAUCACAAGAAGGGUCACUUGAACGAUGUGACCAAGGAGGAAGCACACAAUGUCCCAGAUAUCGUGCUCGGUACGUUCCCUGUCACCACAAUACCUGCCACGGUUUUGUUUGAUUCUGGAGCUUCUCACUCGUUCAUUUCGAAGAGUUUUGUUUUGCAACAUGGUUUUCCGAUACUUCCUUUGGAAAAGUCCCUGAUCAUCAAGUCCCCCGGGAAUAAGCAGAUCACUCAGAGUUACUGCCAAGGUGUGAUUAUUGAGUUUGAAAGACUAAAGUUUCAGGCGAAUCUCAUCGUGUCGGAAAAUAAAGGAUUGGAUGUUAUCCUAGGAAUGGACUGGUUAACCACCAACAAGGGAUUUAUCGACUGUUUCAAUCGGACUGUGAUUCUUACUCAUCAUCACGGCAAGACAAUAAAGGUUGCGGCUCAAGAGAGACCACGGUCACGGCAACCAAAGUUGAACAAGGUGGACAUUUCAGAAUUGAGAUAA
rnacentral:rRNA from 1 species